AAGAGCAUGGUGGUGGUUUUGCAUUAUUUCUACUUAUUUCCGAAACCAACCCCACACUGUUCGUUGUUAAAAUAAAAUCGUACUCUGUAACGAAAUGAUAGCCACUGUUAGCUUGUGUGUACACACACACACACACACACAGAGACAAAUACCAGGUGUUUUUAUGUAACUGGAAUACUGCUAUAGAUAUUCUUUUGUAUUCUGUUUCAAAAGUAUCUAUCUUGCCCGGUCGGAGUGGCUCAGUGGUUGAGCAUCGAUCCCUGUACCACGAGAUCAGCAGUUCAAUUCCUGGUCAGGGCACAUGCCCGGUGGCAGGAUCAGUCCCUGGUGGGGGGCUGUGCAGGAGGCAGCUGAUCUUUUGCUGUGUUUAUGCUUUGAUUUUUGUUUGUUUGUUUGUUUGUUUGUCGGUCACCUCUUACUCGGCAACUAUGACGGGUGAGUGAGGAAAUUAGGGCAAAAUUUCAGGAGUGUCUUGAUUGCUAUAUUUUCAGUAUAUAGGAUAUUUAAGUUUGCAAUGGUAAGUUGUUCAGAAAACCCAGGGAUGCCACACAUGGCAUCUGCACAGUAGUACCAAAUAGUGGGCAUGUUCUAAACCAAGAUAGAAAUAGGCAAGAGCUUUGAAAUUUGCGUGGGACCAGUUUUUCCCCUCCAAAAUGAACUUGACAUGAUUCAUUCUCAAGAUAGCUAAAUUUCAUGUGUUUAAAAGUCAAGAUCUUCUGUCAUCCCAUGUCUAAAGUUCAUGUGGAAGCUAAAUGGUUACUUUUAUGGUCACUAAUUUUUCUUUUUCUUUUCAGUUUUACAUUGCCAUUCUAUGUUUUGGCUUUAUAUAUUAUUUGCUUUUUAAGUGUGGCAUUGUAUUUUAUUAUAAUCCAGAGUCACUGUUUUACCUGUGGUUCCAUUACUGGGUUAUUCUUUUUAUAUUUCUUGGAUUUGGAGCAAUGUGAAGCAAUAUUAAGGGGAAUAUUGUCCUUAAUAAAAUGAAAGUAAUAGAUUG